AUUGAACGCUGGCGGCAGGCCUAACACAUGCAAGUCGAGCGGUAGAGAGAAGCUUGCUUCUCUUGAGAGCGGCGGACGGGUGAGUAAUGCCUAGGAAUCUGCCUGAUAGUGGGGGAUAACGUCCGGAAACGGACGCUAAUACCGCAUACGUCCUACGGGAGCAAGUGGGGGCUCUUCGGACCUCGCGCUAUCAGAUGAGCCUAGGGCGGAUUAGCUAGUUGGUGGGGUAAAGGCUUACCAAGGCGACGAUCCGUAACUGGUCUGAGAGGAUGAUCAGUCACACUGGAACUGAGACACGGUCCAGACUCCUACGGGAGGCAGCAGUGGGGAAUAUUGGACAAUGGGCGAAAGCCUGAUCCAGCCAUGCCGCGUGUGUGAAGAAGGUCUUCGGAUUGUAAAGCACUUUAAGUUGGGAGGAAGGGUCGUUACCUAAUACGUGGCGAUUUUGACGUUACCGACAGAAUAAGCACCGGCUAACUCUGUGCCAGCCGCCGCGGUAACAC
rnacentral:rRNA from 1 species